CAGGAAACGCCCCGCCCGGUGGCAACUAAGCCGCCUGGUGGAUGGCUCGGCUCGGGGCGCCGACGAAGGGCGUGGC
rnacentral:rRNA from 5 species